CCCCCGCCCCCAACUUGCCUCCUGCCGACGACCCGCCUCCAUCCGCCGGCGUGCUUCCCUCGCCGUCCGCGGCGUGCCUCCCUCCCUCUCUAUCUCCCGUGGGCCGCCUCACCCGACGACCUGCGCACCAGUACACCACCAUCCCUACACCACCACCCCUACAUAGCCCCGCCACCGCACGCCGCAGUCCCAAACCCUGCCGCCGCGCGCCACCGGCCCCAGCCCCGCCACCGCGAGCCGCCAUGGCGCGACGUCUCCACCUCCCGGUGACGGACCAACACCUUCCCGAUGGCAUGCCCACCACCACCGACGAGGCACUCUGCCCCAACCGGCGCAGCUCCCCACCGCCGUUGUGCUGCUCCUUCCUCGCGUCUCCCCUUCUCCUCGCUGCACGGAUUGGUGUGCCGCGGCGCCGCCACCCAGGAUAUUAGAAGAGAGCUAAAGAUAAAAGCGUUAGUGGUUCUUGAAUCGGCGCCAAAUAUGGACAUAGUCGUGCAAAGAUCCCUGACAGAGCGAGCCUGUCCAGAAUGCAACCAUCAUGAACUCGAAUAUUACACGAAGCAGCUUCGGUCGGCGGAUGAGGGGCAGACUAUCUUCUACGAGUGCCCGGAGUGCGGCCACGCGUUCAAUGAGAACAGCUAAGAAAAAGGUUUCCUACUAUCAGGGUAUGGAUAUGGGUGGAAGAAACUGCUCCUGCCAUUGGUUGACAAUCGAUGUUCAACAAAAUUUCUCCUGCCAUGCGUUGACCAUUGAUAGAUUCCCUGCAGCGGCCAAAUCCUGGUGCCGCUCGUGAACUUCGCCUCCAUCAGCUCCACUUCGCCGGAGCAAUUAGUCCAGAGGAGGAGGUGUAGCCGGUCCACCUGAUCUCCGACGUGUUAUUCUAACUCCAAAUAAAUUCUUUUUGAGUUCUAUUCUUAGUCACAUGUACACAUGCAGGUUCUAAACUUCUUGUCCAGUCAUUCUAGUACUGAUGAAGAUCGAGUUGACUGAAAUAAUAUAGUCGAUUCUUGAGACCCUUACUAGUCUUUCCAUAUAUAGAAGUUGUGCCUGAUAUCCAAACAUAACUUUUCUCUUUGUUGCCUGCUUGCUUAUUUUGGUGAUAUAUUUGGACCUUUGCCUUGUCAGUACAACAACACACUCCACAGCCGGGCACAAGAAGAGCUGCGUGCAGGCCACCCCUGUGCUCCGUCCUAUAUCCGGCUCAGUCAUCUCCCUCUCAUCCUAUUUCUCUGCUCCAUGUGUGCGUGUGCAGGUAGUGGGAGGAGAUAGAGCAGGGGAGUGAGAGGACCUUCCAUGGUGAAUUCAUAGGCAUCUUCCAUGGAGAUUGUGAGCUCUCUCGAUUAUUGCUUGAGGAUUUAUAUUGUAGCUUCAGUACAAAGAAGCUUCAGUACAAAAGAAGCUUCAGUACGAGAAAAAAUGGGUCGUCAGUUCAUCCAUAUGCAACCUCAUGCGUGGUCGUCCAUUUUUAGUUGGAUCCUACUCGCUGGAAACCACAACAGAGGUAAUUGAAGGGUGCAGACUUGGCAGCGGAGUGGUUUGUUCAACAACAGUACAAUGACCGAAAGAACAUCAGUUCAAAAAAUAUGCAGGAGGUUUGGGAGCCAAACAACUGGAGGUUCAAAGAUUGUCGUGGAGCAAGUUCAAGAGUUUGGUUUCAUGUGGAAAAAUGUGAUUUUUUGGUCAAGAUUUUGCAUGAUUGAUAGCCAUCAGUGGCAGCCGGCGAGCAGUUCAAGCCCGCAUGCGCGAGCCGCCCAUCGUCUUCCACACGUGAUCCUAUUGCUUGAUGAUGCUUGACAUGAACUGAACUAGCUGGAUGGAAUUGUUUUUCUGCAAUGUAAUGUAAAUGAAUAUGGUAAACAAACUGGGACACCAGAUUGUUUUAGAGGUGGAGUUUGUGCUCCAGUUGAGUUCCAGCAGAUUGUGGCUGCUGGUUGUUUCAAGUGAAGGUGGUCGGGCAUUACUUGUGUAGGACUGAAUGAAUCUUGUAUGUAAAGGAAACUGGAUCAAAUAGUCGUCA